GCUUCAGUUUUAGGUUCGAAUUUAGGUUUAAAUUUAGAAUUUAAAUUUAGCUUUAGUUUUAGGUUUGGAUUGAGGUUUAACUAUAUGCACUCAAAUUUAUGUUUGCGUUUCAAAAGUUCAUAAUUUAGCUCGGGGACAAACCGGAUCUGGCAAUUCUUUUUCUGCGGCAACUAGCUGGUUUACGGGAGGCAAUUAUAGAGCGGGAAGAGUUCUUUUGGCUGAUGAGGCUUUCCUGUCCGUCCGUAUUAGGGUCCGUUCGGGUAAACCAGGGUUUUUGUUAUAAAUAUAUAUGGCUAAGACCACCUGAGAUCUCGAAAUCACACGUUACUUUGUAAAAGGCCUGAGCUCAACCGUGUUCGCGCACGUUUGAAAAAAAGCAAACGGAAUGGAUUCGAUACGAUGAAUGAUAGAAAUUAUUUAAAAAGGACACUCGUCCGGUCCGUCUUGUCGUCCGGGUGCAAACUCACAGAAAGUCGGAAAACCAAAAAUUAUACCAAAGCACCCCAGGCGUGGUGGUGCUGGAAAACAGCUUCUCCCUCGUUGGAUGGAGUCGGUGUUGAAGUGGCUUUGCAGGUUUGUGUUUUGCUUUGGUUUAAUUUAAAAAUUUAGUUUUAAGUUUAGUUUUAAGUUUAACUUUAAGUUUAGCUUUAAGUUUAAUUAAUUCUUUUUUUAAAUAAAAUUGAUUUAAUUUAUAUAAAAAAUAAAAUCAAAAAUUUAGUUUUUUUUUAUGAUGAGUCCA
rnacentral:lncRNA from 1 species